rnacentral:tRNA from 1 species
GGCCUCGUAGCUCAGCUAGUAGGGCUCUGUACAAAACGUGGGUUCGAAUCCCACUAGGGCUA